UAAGGAAUAUUGGACAAUGGAGGCAACUCUGAUCCAGCCAUGCCGCGUGAAGGAAUAAGGCCCUAUGGGUUGUAAACUUCUUUUAGACGGGACAAAACCCCUUUACGUGUAAAGGGUUGAUGGUACUGUCAGAAUAAGCAUCGGCUAACUUCGAGCCAGCAGCCGCGGUAAUACGAAGGAUGCAAGCGUUAUCCGGAAUUAUUGGGUUUAAAGGGUGCGUAGGCGGACUAAUAAGUCAGUGGUGAAAGCCUGCAGCUUAACUGCAGAAUUGCCAUUGAUACUGUUAGUCUUGAGUACAGUUGAGGUAGGCGGAAUGUGUCAUGUAGCGGUGAAAUGCGUAGAUAUGACACAGAACACCGAUUGCGAAGGCAGCUUGCUAAGCUGUAACUGACGCUGAGGCACGAAAGCGUGGGGAGCAAACA
rnacentral:rRNA from 1 species